UCCUCCUCCUUGUUCUUCAACACACCGCUCACAUCCACACACCGCUCACACCUCUCCUCCUUGUUGAAGACAGGCUUGUUAUCUACCUUCUUCUCUUUGUCGAAAAUUCCACACCUUCAUCCACUUGGUUGCUGAAAAUCUUCAGAUCUGUUAAACUGAACAAAUUUCGCCGGACGAAAAGCUAUCGCCGCUAGAAAAGCCGCCGCUGCAGCUGCUGCUGCUAACGCUACCGCUACGAUGUCGUUUUCGUCUCCUAACUUUAACAAGCCCAAAAAGUUUCAUUCCUCUUCUCCAGGUCUGUUUUUUUAACCUAAUUUUUUAUUGUUAGAACAUUGUGUUUUGUGAUUGGUAACUUAAACAUAGAAAUUAUUGAUUUUUAGUUGGUCUGAAAAUUAUUGAAUUAUUUUUGGUGGAAUAUUCUUCAAAUUAAUUCCUUCGAUGAGGAUAUUGAUGAAUAAAAAUAUGUUUUUCUUCUGUGUUUUUCUUCAAUGUUUUUCUUUUAUGCUUUGCGGCUGUUAUCUUGACUGAUUUUAACUUUUGACCAACUUUGACUGAUUUUUUGUUAUCUUGGUAGAAACUGCAUUAUGGAUAUUGAUGAAAUCCUUAGUAUUUUCCAAAAACGAGACCACACUGCAAUUGGUGGGAGUGAAUCUGAGG
rnacentral:lncRNA from 1 species